GGGCCGGGCACCGCCCCCGGCACCUGCCAGGAGGACUCCCGCCCCGCCCUGGCCCCGCCCUCGGGACAGGGGCGCCUCGGUGGGGCACUCAGUUUCAUCAACUAGCGCGCCCAGUCACCUCAGGGCACGGGACUUCUUGGAAGAGGGCUUCCCUAGACCCGGCCCCGCUCUCUGGGGGGCCAUUCUGGGUGCUGGGUUCUACUGAGCGCACCCUGGCACUUUUUCAGAGCCAUGUCCCCGUCAUCGUCCCGGAGACUGGGCCCAGCAG
rnacentral:lncRNA from 1 species